rnacentral:rRNA from 1 species
AAAUUGAAGAGUUUGAUCAUGGCUCAGAUUGAACGCUGGCGGCAGGCCUAACACAUGCAAGUCGAACGGUAACAGGAAGAAGCUUGCUUCUUUGCUGACGAGUGGCGGACGGGUGAGUAAUGUCUGGGAAACUGCCUGAUGGAGGGGGAUAACUACUGGAAACGGUAGCUAAUACCGCAUAACGUCGCAAGACCAAAGAGGGGGACCUUCGGGCCUCUUGCCAUCGGAUGUGCCCAGAUGGGAUUAGCUAGUAGGUGGGGUAACGGCUCACCUAGGCGACGAUCCCUAGCUGGUCUGAGAGGAUGACCAGCCACACUGGAACUGAGACACGGUCCAGACUCCUACGGGAGGCAGCAGUGGGGAAUAUUGCACAAUGGGCGCAAGCCUGAUGCAGCCAUGCCGCGUGUAUGAAGAAGGCCUUCGGGUUGUAAAGUACUUUCAGCGGGGAGGAAGGGAGUAAAGUUAAUACCUUUGCUCAUUGACGUUACCCGCAGAAGAAGCACCGGCUAACUCCGUGCCAGCAGCCGCGGUAAUACGGAGGGUGCAAGCGUUAAUCGGAAUUACUGGGCGUAAAGCGCACGCAGGCGGUUUGUUAAGUCAGAUGUGAAAUCCCCGGGCUCAACCUGGGAACUGCAUCUGAUACUGGCAAGCUUGAGUCUCGUAGAGGGGGGUAGAAUUCCAGGUGUAGCGGUGAAAUGC